UACAGAGGGGGCAAGCGUUGUUCGGAAUUACUGGGCGUAAAGGGCGCGUAGGCGGCCUUCUAAGUCAAACGUGAAAUCCCUCGGCUCAACCGGGGAACUGCGUCUGAUACUGGAAGGCUUGAAUCCGGGAGAGGAAUGCGGAAUUCCAGGUGUAGCGGUGAAAUGCGUAGAUAUCUGGAGGAACACCGGUGGCGAAGGCGGCAUUCUGGACCGGCAUUGACGCUGAGGCGCGAAAGCCAGGGGAGCGAACGGG
rnacentral:rRNA from 1 species